AGAGAUAUAUUAUAAUUAUUGUGCAUCAUCUCGACAUAUUCCAAGUGGGAAAUCAACUUUUACAGAUGAACGCCCAACCUGACUGGAGAGCUGCUGCUGAGUAGAGCAGCAACUAUCAUCUGCAUAGACUUCAUGCCCCAGGUUAGGGACUUGCAGUGUUUUUAAUGAAGCUUUGGUAAGGUCUCCCAGCAGGUCAGCCAUCAGCCCGGACAAUGACGUCUCCCACGUUACGGCGCAGGCGGCCAUCCGUCAUCUUCAAGAUAUCAUCGUCAUCCCCGGACAGCUGCACUCUGCUCGGCUCUUGCUCUCUCUCGGACAUAAAACAAAGACGGCAAGCCCAUUGUCUGCUGAUGAUUUCCCGGGAGUGAAAGCCGUUCUGCGCCACCGAGCUGUGUCUAAUUUGUCUGGGAAAAAAAGAAAUGCUCGAUAACCCUUUACCCCACCCCCUCCAGGAUGUUACGGAUGCUAAAAUGGAAGCAAAGGUGUUUUCCACAUUCGUGUAACAGCAGUGAUGAUAAAGUGGCAAGAAUUAAAUUACACGAGCAUGC